UACUAGCCAUAAACCAUAACCUAGUCCCACUCUAGCACCAAACCUAAUCCAAGCCAACCCCAAACCUAACCUUAGCCCUGGGCCUUAACCUAGUCCCACUCUAAAUCCAAACCUAACCAAACCCACACUAACCCCAAACCUACAUAUUCCUGAUCAUUACCCGAACCCACUACUGACCCUAAACCUGAAAAAGCCUGGCUAAUCAGAAAAAAUCAUUUGUUUUAAAAAAAUAAAGAAAAAAGGUUCUUGUAAACCCUGCAUAAUAACUGGUGAUUUUCAGAUUAGCAUUCUCUCAGGUGGAACACAAGAAACAAAUAUUUGAAAGAUGGGAUUCUAGUGCUAGUGCUAUAUAAGAUAUGUUUCUGUUCUAAUCGGAGGCAGCUGUCUCAUCGCCUGACAACAUAAAGUGUAUUAGAUACAUAGGAGAAUAAAAGUGCAGGAAUGGAAGGGAAAAAAAGAAAAUACUAUUAUUCUUGCAGGAAUCGAUGAUACACAAAAUCAGACAAGUAUAGAUGACUCCAUUGAUGUGGAGCUUCCAGAAUCCCCACAGUCUGGUGAUCAACAGAGAGUGACAGAGUCUGUGUAUUUUCUAGCAAAUGUCCCGUCAUCCAACGCCACAGGUGAACCACCGAAAGAUAAUGAGGGUGUUUAUUACCUAGCAGCACAUUCAACAUCCAACGAUCAGGACCAGGAUUAACCUGUUUACAAAAUGAUCCAGAAGCCAGAACACAGCACCUGAAAUUUAUCCUAAUGAAAUUAUUAUUAAUAUUAAUAUGUACAUAGUCAGUAAUUAUUUUCAUUUCUUUUUUUAUGUACACUUUGUUUUUUAUUGUAUUGCUUACUUAUCAUAAACAUAUGCCACAUGUUGUUCACUUCCUGUUCUUGGUGAAUAAGUUGAAACUUUAACAUCAGCCAGUGUUUGUGUAAUACUUUGAUAUAAAUAUAGACUAUUGCGCAAAACUUUAUUUUUUACUGCAUGCUGACAAAAUGUACAUCUUUGUCCAUGUCUGAGCUCAUAUCCUAUUUAGGAUAAUAAAAAGAUACAAAAACAGCUAGUCAGAGUGACUCUGUCUUUAACUGAAUGUAUUUUAUGCUCUUUAUACUUUAUAUAGUCAAAAUUACACCGAUCAGCCAUAACAUCAUGACCACCCACCUAAC